rnacentral:rRNA from 1 species
CCUACGGGGGGCUGCAGUGGGGAAUAUUGCACAAUGGGCGCAAGCCUGAUGCAGCCAUGCCGCGUGUGUGAAGAAGGCCUUCGGGUUGUAAAGCACUUUCAGCGGGGAGGAAGGCGUUAAGGUUAAUAACCUUGGCGAUUGACGUUACCCGCAGAAGAAGCACCGGCUAACUCCGUGCCAGCAGCCGCGGUAAUACGGAGGGUGCAAGCGUUAAUCGGAAUUACUGGGCGUAAAGCGCACGCAGGCGGUCUGUCAAGUCGGAUGUGAAAUCCCCGGGCUCAACCGGGGAACUGCAUUCGAAACUGGCAGGCUAGAGUCUUGUAGAGGGGGGUAGAAUUCCAGGUGUAGCGGUGAAAUGCGUAGAGAUCUGGAGGAAUACCGGUGGCGAAGGCGGCCCCCUGGACAAAGACCGACGCUCAGGUGCGAAAGCGUGGGGAGCAAACAGGAUUAGAUACCCCGGUAGUC